CUUUCGCUCAUCCUCUCCUCGAGGAUCAAGGGAGCUCUGACCACAGACUGUGACUGGGAAGGGAGGCAGAGCGGCAGCUCAGGGGAAACGAGGCUGCAGUGGUGGUGGUAGGAAGAUGUCAGGCAAAGACGAGCAGCAGGAGCAAACUAUCGCCGAGGACCUGGUCGUGACCAAGUAUAAGAUGGGGCGCGACAUUGCCAACGGGAUACUUCGGUCCUUGGUGGACGCAUCUAGCUCAGGUGUGUCAGUACUGAGCCUGUGUGAGAAAGGUGAUGCCAUGAUUAUGCAAGAAACUGGGAAAAUCUUCAAGAAAGAAAAAGAGAUGAAGAGAGGUAUUGCUUUUCCCACCAGCAUUUCGGUAAAUAACUGUGUAUGUCACUUCUCCCCUUUGAAGAGAGACCAGGAUUACAUUCUCAAGGAAGGUGACUUGGUAAAAAUUGACCUUGGGGUCCAUGUGGAUGGCUUCAUCACUAAUGUAGCUCAUACUUUUGUGGCUGAUGUAGCUCAGGAGACCCAGGUAACAGGAAGGAAAGCAGAUGUUAUUAAGGCAGCUCACCUUUGUGCUGAAGCUGCCCUACGCCUGGUCACACCUGGAAAUCAGAACACACAAGUGACAGAAGCCUGGAACAAAGUUGCCCACUCAUUUAACUGCACGCCAAUAGAUGGUAUGCCUGUCACACCAGCUGAAGCAGCAUGUCAUCGAUGGAGAAAAAACCAUUACCCAGAAUCCCACAGACCAGCAGAAGAAGGACCAUGAAAAAGCUGAAUUUGAGGUACAUGAAGUAUAUGCUGUGGAUGUUCUCGUCAGCUUAGGAGAGGGCAAGGCCAAGGAUGCAGGAGAGAGAACCACUAUUUACAAACGAGACCCCUCCAAACAGUAUGGACUGAAAAUGAAAACUUGACGUGCCUUCCUCAGUGAGAUGAAAAGAUGUUUUGAUGCCAUGCCGUUUACUUUAAGAGCAUGAGAAGAUGAGAAGAAGGCUCAGAUGGGUGUGGUGGAGUGUGCCAAACAUGAACUGCUGCAACCAUUUAAUGUUCUCUAUGAGAAGGAGGGUGAAUUUGUUGCCCAGUUUAAAUUUACAGUUCUGCUCAUGCCCAGUGGCCCCAUGUGGAUAACCAGUGGUCCCUUCCAGCCUGACCUCUAUAAAUCUGAGAUGGAGGUCCAGGAUGCAGAGGUAAAGACCCUCCUCCAGAGUUCUGCAAGUUGAAAAACCCAGAAAAAGAAAAAAAAAGAAGGCCUUCAAGACUGCAGAGAAUGCCACCAAUGGGGAAACAUUAGAAGAAAAUGAAGCUGGGGACCAAGGUGGGUCCCAUCUCCCCAGCUUGCUGCUCCUGCCUCAUCCCCUUCCCACCACACCCCAGACUCUGUGAAGUGCAGUUCUUCUCCACCUAGGGCUGCCAGCAGAGUGGGGGUGUCCCUGCCCCCACCCCAGUUUUGCAACCCUUCCAACAACAACCAGCUCCAUCUGACUCUGGUCUUGGGAGGCGAGGCUUCCCAACCACACAAGACUUUAAAUGAACAAAAGAAAUUAAAUAAUAAAAUCAGGAGUCAAAAUUCAUCAUCUUCAAGCCCCUCUUUCUAGCCUUUUCUUUUACUCUCUGCUUGGGUCAAGGCAUGUAACCCUACAAUACAACAGAGCUAA